GAUGAACGCUAGCGACAGGCCUAACACAUGCAAGUCGAGGGGCAACGGGGCGUAGCAAUACGCUGCCGGCGACCGGCGGAUGGGUGAGUAACGCGUAUGCAACCUGCCUUCAGCAGGGGGAUAGCCCGUUGAAAGACGGAUUAAUACCCCAUAACACAGGGGCUCCGCAUGGAGAUUAUUGUUAAAGGGAUGCUUCCUUCGGGGGUAUUCCGGCUGAAGAUGGGCAUGCGUUCCAUUAGGUAGUUGGUUGAGGUAACGGCUCACCAAGCCUGCGAUGGAUAGGGGAACUGAGAGGUUGGUCCCCCACACUGGUACUGAGACACGGACCAGACUCCUACGGGAGGCAGCAGUGAGGAAUCUUGGUCAAUGGACGGAAGUCUGAACCAGCCAUGUCGCGUGAAGGAGGACGGCCCUAAGGGUUGUAAAACUUCUUUUGCAGCGGAAUAAAGUAUUCCACGUGAUGGGAUAUUGCAAGUACGCUGCGAAUAAGGAUCGGCUAACUCCGUG
rnacentral:rRNA from 1 species